rnacentral:rRNA from 1 species
UACGGAGGGGGCUAGCGUUGUCCGGAAUCAUUGGGCGUAAAGAGCGCGCAGGCGGCUGGUCAAGUCCGAUGUGAAAUCUCCCGGCUCAACUGGGAAACUGCAUCGGAAACUGAUCGGCUUGAAGAUGGGAGAGGGUAGUGGAAUUCCCGGUGUAGUGGUGAAAUGCGUAGAUAUCGGGAGGAACACCAGUGGCGAAGGCGACUACCUGGCCCAUUCUUGACGCUGAGGCGCGAAAGCUAGGGGAGCGAACGGG